ACUCUGUAAAGAUAUAGCCAUUCAUACCUAUAUAUCUGCACUCAGUAAGUUUUGUUCCCAUAUGUCAUUUAGUUAUUAUGAAUGAAAAUGCAUUACCUGAGGAAAUCGUACGUUUCUGUCUUGCGUUUUCUGGCUUCCCCCAACUCUCCCUCCAUUGACAGAAGAUUCCAUUUCAGUACCAUUGACUGUAUCAAGUUCCAGUAAAAACGGCAUCCUCCUCUUUUUCAGAGAAUCCAAGGUGAUUGUCCCCCAAAAAAUGGUCCAUUCCAGACUAUCGACUGUCCCCAUUCGAAUCUAAAACACAGCCAACAGACUAUGCAUGGACUAGUGAAUACUGGGCCAGUGCUCAAAUCAGAUGGCAUCAGCAGCUGCAAACUCAGAUCUAUCCUUGCCCUUCCUGAGGCUUGACUUUCAUUACUGGGCCCCCCACCACGAGCCAACACAUGGCCAUGAGCGCAUACCAACUCAGUGCACAACCUCUGAGCAACCACUUGGAAACAAUCAAGAGAAAACAUAUGACCAAGCAGAGCUCUCCAACAACAUUUGGAAAUGGUCUAAGACACAAGGUAAAACCUCUCCUUUGACUGUCUAUAAACAAAGAUUAGAUUGCAAAAGCACAACACUUAGAGAACAGCAUAUGAUAGACAUACAUUUACAGUCAUGUUAAAAUCCUCAUUAAGUGAGCAGGUAUACCUAAUAUGAAAAUGAAGCAUGACAGUAAAUGUGGCAGGAAACAGAUAAGUUCUUGGCCUGCGGUCAUUCAUUUUCAUUUUUAAAUCACCUCUGACUAAAACAUGUGGUGGCUCCCAUCCCAUUGCGACAUCUUACAUCUGGUGGGCUAAGCAGGAUAAGCCAAGUCAAGCCCACGGCGGUCUUCCAUGAACCUAUUGUUUGUGACCGUCCCAUCUGCUCAGAUUCACCAGUAUCAAGCGCGGGAGCAGAAGAGUGGGCAUCUGCAGGGACCCCCGCUGUAAACAUCACAGAAGGGAUGCUUCAUUUGAGGCACUGACUCAAUACCCCUCUUCAACCAAAAAUGAAUUGCGCCUCAGAAAAUGGAGAUUUAAUUUUCUCAUGAUAAGAAAAAAAAUGUGCUUGCCAACUGGCUUCUUCUUUCUUCCAUCUUUUGAGUAACCCAUAUUUAAAGUAAUAUUUACAGUCAGUUGCUUGUUGUAUGAUGGGAAUCUCCAUACAUACUGCAGAUCCAAUUGUUUUUAAGUUACUAAAACAUUUUCAGAUUCAAUAAACUUAUUUAAAUAGAUCUGUUUUGUUUCCCA
ensembl:lncRNA